UUGAAGUCAUGCAUGGUAACUUUAAUGACAAGGAGCGCAUGAGAUGGAUAAAGCCCUGACAAUUGCCUCACUAUGGACAAUCACGAGGGGUGUCACUGUCGGUUCAUGGAAAGCUAGCAAUUCAGACGGUAAACUCCUUAUGGAAUCCUAUUUGUCCAAACAGGAUUCGAGCAGCCCGCCCUCUACAUUGGACAGCGAAUUGUUGAGAAUCUGGAUAGCAAUUCGCACUUCGGGCCCCCUUAAGUGCAGGGAAGGGAGUUGUGUCACUUGGACAAGACAGGUUACCAAGACAUUAUUUUCAAUUUGUAGGCAUAUUUGUCGUCUCUUGCAAACUUGUCUAAAAUGGUUUGUCUGCUUUAGAUUCAUAAAAAUCAAAACUCGAGCAACUUUUAAAGAC